rnacentral:misc_RNA from 1 species
UCUCCGUAGGUGAACCUGCGGAGGGAUCAUUACAGAGUUCAUGCCCUACCGGGUAGAUCUCCCACCCUAUGUUAUUAUUACUUUGUUGCUUUGGCGGGCCGUUAGGCUCCGGCCCGACUACCGGCCCCGGCUGGUAAGCGCCCGCCAGAGGACCCAAAACCCUGAAUAUUAGUGUCGUCUGAGUACUAUAUAAUAGUUAAAACUUUCAACAACGGAUCACUUGGUUCUG